UACGGAGGGUGCAAACGUUGCUCGGAAUCAUUGGGCGUAAAGGGCUCGUAGGCGGCCAACUAAGUCAGACGUGAAAUCCCCAGGCUCAACCUGGGAACUGCGUCUGAUACUGGAUGGCUUGAAUCCGGGAGAGGGAUGCAGAAUUCCAGGUGUAGCGGUGAAAUGCGUAGAUAUCUGGAGGAAUACCGGUGGCGAAGGCGGCAUCCUGGACCGGCAUUGACGCUGAGGAGCGAAAGCUAGGGGAGCAAACGGG
rnacentral:rRNA from 1 species